rnacentral:rRNA from 1 species
UAGGGAAUAUUGCUUAAUGGGCGAAAGCCUGAAGCAGCAACGCCGCGUGAACGAAGAAGGCCUUCGGGUCGUAAAGUUCUUUUACGUGGGAUGAGGAAGGACAGUACCACGAGAAUAAGUCUCGGCUAACUACGUGCCAGCAGCCGCGGUAAAACGUAGGAGACGAGCGUUAUCCGGAUUUACUGGGCGUAAAGCGCGUGUAGGAGGCGCUACAAGUUGGAUGUGAAAGCUCCCGGCUUAACUGGGAGAGGUCGUUCAAGACUGUAGAGCUAGAGUGAGGCAGAGGAAGAAGGAACGCAGGGAGUAGUGGUGAAAUGCGUAGAUAUCCGGAAGAACACCAGAGGCGAAAGCGAUCUACUGGGCCUAAACUGACACUGAGACGCGAAAGCCAGGGUAGCAAA